UUAGAUGAAGGAGUUGUUGGUAUUAACUUAGCCGAGGGUGAAGGCCUGACCUAGCACAGCGCUGAGUGUCACUGAUGACUCUUGCCACUGAAAAGAAAAAUGGCCCUGUUCCCUGCUCCAUGCAGCUUCUGCCCUUCUGCUUUCUUCCCGAGGAGCAGGAUUUAUAGGGGCAUCUGAUUUGAUUUAUGGAGGAGUGAAAUCGCAAAUUAACCGCCCAGGCACACGCUUUGCAGCACAACGCCAGACAGCCCUUCCUCUCCUCCUUCCCCGCCGAGCUGCCCUUACCCUGCAGCAGCUGGCUGGGCACUCGGCCUGGCGUUUGCAUUUGCCGCCGCGGUGCCCGCAGCCCGGCCGGCCCAGGUGCCAGCCACCAGGGGCGGCUACCAUCCAGAGCCAUCCCCUCCAGCUACACCCAGAGCGGCAGCGGGAGCGCUGCCCUGCGCCUGAAGCAGUUGAUCGCUGCAGUGUGGCGUUUUGCUGGCAGUGGAUGAAAGCCGCCUGUAAAGUGUCUUUUGUGCAGUUAAAAACAAAAUGCACGUGUAUUUUACUAAAUGCAUGUGCCAGCAGCCAAGCUGGCACCCUCUGACUGCGUUUACUAAGGAACGAGGUGGUGGCGGCACAGAUGCAAGCACUUGGGAGCGAGGAGCCAGGCUGGCUCUCCCCAGCGGGGCUGUAACUUCGGAGCUCUGAAGUAAAACCUCAGAGGCUGGUAAAGCUCACUUCCUCCAGAAUGUUUCAAAAUACUGAGCUUGCUUCAAGAAUGAAUUGGCAGACUGACUCUUUUACCUUGCUCUGUAAUGAAAUGGCUAUGAACCAGAACCAUAAAGAUGAGUUUCAUAAGCAUGGAUUCCUUUUGCUCUUCCUGCUACCAUUGCUAGGUACAGGGUGUUUCUAUCCCUAAUUUUGGCUCUCUUUCACGUACAAGACUUGGCAAGCCGAGAUACUACAUUUAUGCAAGAAACCGAAACAAACAUACCAACAUUACUUGUGCAUAAAAUUUGACUGCAAGCCCAUUAAUGACCUUCGGUUCCAUAAAUUUAGUUUCUUUUCAUACACAACUUCCCUUUUUAACUCCCAGGGGAACAUACAUUCUCCAAUUAGUGUCCUUUUCUAUUUUCCACUUUACAGAAGAAUGCUUGAAAAUAGCAUCAGGUUAUCUUGUUGGGAUCUACUUGCGUCCUUUGAUUCCAGGAGCCAAGUGCCAGUUUUUGUUUUGAACAAUACUUCAUAAAGCCAUUAAAGGAGACCCACAAAGGAGAAAUGUGAAAGGCAGAUGGACGCAAAGACCAAAACAACAGCGCGCAUAAUGGCAGACCAAAUCUUCAGUAAGAUUGACCAUCUUUACAGCCUAAUCCAAAAUGACUUCCAGAGAUAGGUAUUUCAGGGGAACGGUGCCCUCCAGAGAUAGGUAUUUCAGGGGAACGUUGCCUUGCAUGAAGGAAAUAGUGCCUGGGGAAAGAAACAAAGCAAGAUGAAACUUGAACAAGAGGACCAUGCUUGAAAACAGAGUGACUGAAAACAGCUGCUGACAUGAGGUCUGGAACUGCCCUUCACCACUCAGUGUGCUGGCUUCCACUGAAGUGAGUGUAAAGGAGAGACAGGGAGCUUGGCUGUAGCCUCACUGACUUUUAUUUGACAUAGAAAGUGAACAUGGGACAAGAGUAUUAGCAUGAGGAUAACUGAACAAAUGGUAUUAUGUUCCUGAUAAAGCCAGAAGCGAAAUGGAUACUUUCAGAAGCCUAAUCAGAGUUGAUUGGAUUGACAAUGCGGGACAUUUAUGUCAUUAAUAAGAACAAUGCUGUUUUUUUGCUGAACUAUUCCUCUAAGUGCUUUCCAAAACCACAGAGACAUCAUACACUGAUUUUCUUGGCAGAAAUCAAAGCUCUCUGUUCUUCCUCAUACAUGUAAGAUGUAAUAAUGUUGAUAUGUCUCCUCGGGGUUGCUAUUUUGAUAGUAUUACCUAUUCGGUUUUUUUUUUAGUUCUGCUUUUAUUACUUAGUUUUAAGGACAAGGAAUAGCAAACAUUCAAGAAUCAACAAAAGAGUAAAACAUGUCUACUAUUGACAUCAGAACGAUGAGGGGACAAGUUCUAUGAAAAAUUUUACGUUGAGAUAUGAUGGUAUCUAUUAAUGGAUGAUUUUCAAAGUCUACUUCAUUAUUUAGUAGGAGGAGUCUGAAACAGCAACACAGUGCGCAACACUGACAGCACAGCCCUACUGUACUAUGUAACAGCAUACUGCAUUAGAAUUAGGAGAUUCACUGUAAAACUGAAGUUAUGUUCCAGAUUAGGAAACUGUGAGCCCACAACCUCUAUUCCCAUCAAAAGGAUGGUUAAGUUAGAAAAUAGAAAAGCUAUUUAACAAUUUAUCUAAAGAAGGAGCAUGGUAAGUACGGACAGCAAGCACAGCUGUCAUUAAGAUCUCCUCAGAAACUGCAAGCUGCACGAAUCAUCAUUACGUGUCCCUGUGAUCAGUGUAACUAACGGAAGGUUUAUGACAUGUAACGUUCUUCAACUUGCUGUGACCAUGCACAAAUUGAACACAUCAGCUAGAUAUUUUUCUCCAAAAAUUCUCUUGUAUAGAGGGAAUAUUUAGCUAGUUUGAAUAGAGGGAAAUGCUUUAACAGCUUUUUUGGCCAGCCUUGUGUCUGUGGGUCUAUGUAAGAGGGGGAGAGAAGGUUUUGCCUACGAGAGUUUCAAUUUGUGCCAUGUUGAGAGGAGGAGAAACAUCAGCUCUUGAUUAACAGAGAACCAGACAGUUUCUGAAAUGUACUUUAAGAGGGAAAUAUGCAUAUUGCACGCUGGGUUCAGAGAGGCAGUGUGGAUAAAGAAACAUAUGCACAAGGACCGGAUAUAAAAAAUAUCCCCAAAAAGAAACUUAACAAAGGAUUGAGAAGGAAGAGAAUGUGCAUUAAGUUGCUUGAGUAAAUAUAAUAUUGAAUGAUUAAAGACACCACACUUACUUGUAAGACACGAUUUGCACGCAGGGGCUCAUGUGAUGCUACAAAAGUCAAUGGAGGAGUUUGAAAAUCAGCUGAACAAAAGUCAUUUAAUUUAAAGAGUGUGGUUAAUUACUUCAUAGCCACUACACUGUAGACAGACAGAUGAAGCGAGAAGCAGCAACGGUAAAAGCAAGAGGUACAGAAGGCUGUUGAUGGUGAAAGGGAGAAUAAUAUCUAAAGAGCACUGUGAAAUCAAAGACAUUCAGAGAAUACUGUUUAGAGCUGAUAAAAAAAACAAGAUUACAAUUUUUGUACAAAGUUCUGGUAUUUGUAAGAAAACAAAAUCAAAUUUGAACGAAAGCCCAAAAAUUGCAAGAAAAGAAGACAUUAGACAUUUUUUAGAUACUCAAAGUACUAAAACACAAAUGUGAUAGAAAAAUGAACACAAAUAGAAACAAAUGACCACAAAUUUAAAAGAAACCAUAUACAAAUGCUAAAACUGAAAAGUGAAUUGCAAACAUCUUAAUAUACAAUAAAGUAGCAACUCAUUUGACACUUCCUGGAAGAUAAUUUGUAUCUGGUCAAGAUUAAAUAUUUGCUUUUCUUUAAAUCAAAUCUUCCAGUAGAAGUUCCUUAGAUUUUUUACAGGCCAUAUCUCAGUAUUUCCAAAUCAGACUCCACAAGAAAUCCAUUAAGAUGAAGCAAGAGGAAAACUGUGAAAUAUCAUCAGCUCCCUGUUGCCUGAUGCAGACAGUUACAGAUGAUGUGUCUGGUACGUGGGGAAACUAAACAAGUCCACGCCAGAGGCAGUACCUUACUCUGAAUCACAAAGUUUUAAGGAAACCACAGCCUGAAUGCAUUGUUAAUAAAAGCAUAAUAUGUAAAGCAUGAUGCUCUGCAGCAUGCACUGGAAAUAGAUUUCACCUGCAAUUCUCUCUACUCUGUUAAAUUAUCGUAAGGAUAAUUUCACAUUCUGCACAAUUUCAUCACCUUUCCAGAAUGGCUGGAAAGCUCAUUAAUUUAACUGUGGGAGCAAAGUAAACUUAUAAGAGCUCUACCUGCUAAUGUCACUCUCUUUGAUUUCUGUUGCAUUCCCUUGGAGACAAGAAUUGAGCGAGAGAGGGAGGAGAGGAAUGAGAAGACAAAUGAGCUCAGGGCAUGAAGUGCCCGGGGAAGGAUUGGAUGGACUGUCAAGAAUUACAGGGGGGGAUUGAGAAGAAAAGCACCUCUGGGAAAGGAGGAGGCAGGGAAGCCAAACACGCCUCAGAGAAAUGACAGGAGAUUCGGCAAGGAGCAAGAUACAAAGUAGGGACAUAUGGAAACCUAGCAGGAAGGGAAGGCCUGGGGAGGCAAAAAGAGACAUGGAUGAAAGGGAGUGAAAUUGCAGGGAAGAGGAGGAGGCAUCUUAGUGUGGAUCAGAUAUUUACUGCCUGCUGACAUUGCUCCCAAAAGGAGAGCGAUGUGAGAGGGGAGAACACAGGAAGGAGAUAAUGAUCAGCAGCUACUGGAAAUAAUGCACUGUGUAGGGAGUAAAGUUAUCCCAGAUUAACUAAAGGGGUGAGAGAAAGCCAAAGGUGAUCCCGUACAGUCUGCACCUUCCAGGGAAAUGGAGAAACCAGGCAGAACUCAGAAAAAAUGCAAAUGCCCGGAACUGGAGCAUCUACUGCCUCUGGGACUGAUUGAUCGGCUCACCUCUGCACAGUGCAGCCUGCAGAUGCCCUGUGGCUCCAGUCAUCUUGAUCCGUCCCAAAACAUCCUUAGUGGGGAGACACCUGAGGGCCAGGCACAUUGGUGGGACGCACACUGCAGCUUUGGCGGUGCAGCCCACAGCUCGGCCAGAAGACUUCCGUCUAAAAUCCCUGUUCUGGAAUAAUUUGCCCUCUUAAGCAUCACCAACCAUUCUAUUAAUAGUGGGCUACCAAAGCAUUUUCAGCUGAACUGAAAGCCUGGCUGGCCAGAGCUGGCACAAAGGGGCAUUUGAGGAGACCGGGAAUGCAGGCUGUGGGUCUGCCUCCUGCCUGGGGCACCGCAGGGCCCUUGGGCAAUUCACUUCUGAUUACAAGUGCUUGCAAUUUUCAUUUUAAAGAACACGCAGAAUAGAAAUACAAAGAUUGCCUGUGUGUCAGUCCUUCCCUUAGGCAAAGUACAGACUAAAUAAAAUAAACUCUUAAGAUUAUUUAGUGUCCAGAUGAAGUAAAAAAAAAAAUAAAUGAAUUCUUUUGGAUCUGAUAUUAGUGUGACUUAGUCUGCGGGGGGAGAAAAAAAACCCUAACAAAAAAUGAUGAAAAGAUGUUUUACUAUGUGCCAGGGAAGUGAUUGCCAAUUUUUGGGAUGGAGCGUUUUUCUUCAAAGAUUUUUUCUUUUCACUGAAAUAGUUGUUAAAAAAAAAAAAAAAGGUUGUCUUAAAUCUACUCCUACGUCAGUGAGAACUUGGCUGAAUGCAUGCUGCAUUUGUACAACACAUUUGCACAAGAGAAGAGUUGGCAAAACUGUUACUGAGUUGGCUCUGAAGACUGAUCUUUCCAUCACAAGAAAUGCAGUAUUUUUACUCCACUAUAACUUCUGCCAUUUAAACAGGAGCAGGACCACCAAGUGGUGAAAUAGCCAAGCCACAGUGAGAGCUGAAAAAUGCCAUCUCUGUUCCAUUGGAAGUUCUGACAGUUGAGAAUUUUUAACUCUGAGUUGGAAGAAAGUCUAAAUUCACCAUGGAGUAUAAACUUUGUUGCCUCCUCAAAAUAUUUUGAGAAGCUGACUAAUAAUAUGGAGUGAAUAAAGUAUAUCAAAUACAUGAAUAAAUGCCAGAAUUAAAAGAAAAUGUAUCCAGCAAUGAAACUGAAAUAUUUUGCCGUUACUAAAAUAGAAAGUCAGAAAGAUUUCUUCUCCUAAUUUCUUAUUCCUAGCCAGGUAUCCUAGGGAAACCUUGCGGUUUUAGCAGAACUUCAUUUUAUUCAGCAGGAAAGUGUUCAGUUGAAUACGUUUUAGCCCACGCUGCCCACCAACAUGAAUAUGCAAAAGCUGGGACUGAGACGCAUGCACACAAGCACGCCGUGUCACCCCAAUGCAAGCCCCGAUGCAGUAAGCCUGGUUUCCAUUUUGGCAGUGGCUGCAGAAGGCUCUGGAAAGGCAGCCCAAGUCAGAUUUACUAUUUACAAAUCAUCAGCACUGAAAACCAAAGUCAAAACAAUGCUUGCUGAUCCUAGAAUAAGAGAUGUCAGAAUGGUCUUGUUUAUAUCUGCUUUUUCUUCAAAAGGGAAGUACACAGACACAAAUUUAGUGUAUGGGGAUUUUAUGUCAAAAAAAAAAAAAAAAAGCUGCUGUGAUGCCCGAUGGAUGUUUUCAAGAAUGCUGUUUUGGCAAGAAAGAUAACUCGGUGCUUUUUUUUUUUUUUUUUUUGCACUUAUUCCCUGUAGCUUUACAUAAUCAGCACAAUUUUUUAUUUUUGGUAUUAACUUGUACGGAGCAUCACAAAAACAUGACUGCAGGGGACCUUGAGAGGUCAGAUGGUGCAGCCCCUACCCCAAGGCAGGAUCUGUUCUUCCCAAGUUAGUCCUCAAAGAUGUCUAAUCUGCUCUUAAGGACAGCCUGCGCAGGGUCAGGGGUCACUUCUGUCCACCCCAGGGCUCCACAGUCUUCACCGACAAGUUUCUCCAAGUGUCUAAUCUGAAUGUUCCUUGUUGCAAUUAAUUAAUUCGCCACAGAUACGGGGAAGAGAUUAAUAUCUUACGCAAGAGCCUCCUACAGCUGCAGAUUUGGGGUGAGUGGAACCGCUUAUCUCUCGCCAUAAUUAUUUUGGCUUGGGUCUUCCAAUGAGACUCUGGCAUUUACAAAGUACGUAAGCAGCAGCUUGGAAAUGAUAGCGAUACUUUCUGAGGGGAACGGACUGCCCUUUGGGCUCUGCAUGAGCCAGCUGGACGGACCUAACACCGGCUAGGAAGCCUGAAUGAAAGCAGAUCAGAUGUGCAAGAUGGCUAUUUAGAGACUCAGUAAAUAACUACGUAUUUUGUGACACGCAGUACCCUAAGUUCUUCCUAUGAAGAAAAGUACAGACAAUCUACCCUUUUUGCAAUCUUGCAGAUGCCAUUAAGAUACGUUCGAGGGCCAUCAGCAGCGCACUACAGUAGGCACACAAAAACCACACACGUCAUGGUGAGAAAUUACUACCCUGAUUAGAACUCUGGCUCCUCAAUUAUCCAGUAUGCAUGCCAGCAUGAUCUGAAGUGCUUGCUGCACCCAGCAGAUGCCUCAAUUUCAGUGAGGGAGUUCACUAUCCCCGAACUACCUGCCUUGCCCAACUCGCAUACUGGAAAACAGGUGGUUUUUGUGUGUCACAGUUAAACACUAGGUGUACUGUGUGGAAAUGGAGGAGUAUUCACAGCCCAUCCGAAGCUGUGCUUUGGUCUCUGAGCGUACAGGGCACAGCUAACUUGCAGGACAGAACGUGUGCCCUCCCCACUGAACAGCUUCUCGUUCCUCUGUGUAUCCUCGCUGUGCUUCUGUGUCCUCCUGGCAGGACCUAAAAGGAUGCGCAGCGAUGCACAAAUGCACCAUUAAAUAUUACAGACGUACGCUAAUGCUUUGGGAACGUGCCCACUCCCCAAGCCCUGCCAAUUUACAGAUUAUUGUA